rnacentral:rRNA from 1 species
CAGUAGCCGCGGUAAUACGAAGGGGGCUAGCGUUGCUCGGAAUGACUGGGCGUAAAGGGCGCGUAGGCGGCGGCCAAAGUCAGGCGUGAAAUUCCCGGGCUCAACCUGGGGGCUGCGUUUGAUACUUGGUUGCUUGAGUGGGGAAGAGGGUCGUGGAAUUCCCAGUGUAGAGGUGAAAUUCGUAGAUAUUGGGAGGAACACCGGUGGCGAAGGCGGCGACCUGGUCCUUGACUGACGCUGAAGCGCGAAAGCGUGGGGAGCAAACAGGAUUAGAUACCCGCGUAGUCCCUGUCUCUUAUAC